UUCAAAUUUACAAAACGAAUUAACUUGUCCUAUUUGUUUAGAUUUUUUUUAUUUACCAGUUACAAUGACUUGUGGGCAUACAUUUUGUCGAUAUUGCAUAGGCCACAAUAAAUUAAAUGGUAAAAAUUGUCCUUUAUGUAGACAACCAUUAGGUCAUUCUUCAUGUAUAAACACAAUUAUCUAUAAUUUAGUACGUUUAUUUAAUUUGAGAAGAAAGUCAUUAAAAGUAUACAAAUCAGUAGAAAUUGUUAAUACUGUAGAUGAAGUAUGGUGGUGUGAUAAUUUUAUAAAACCACAAGUUAGUGUAUCUUUAUUUUUACGUAUUUUUUUACAUGACAUGGUUUCAGUUCCUAUUUUUUUUGAUGAUUUAACUGCUUGUGUUAUUGACUUUUUUACUGUUAACAAAUUAUGGUCCAAAGCUAAAUAUGUUUUUAAUAUAAAUGAUUGUAAAGCGUUUAGUGAAUUAAUUGGAUAUGAUAAAGAAGAUAAAGAAGCAACAAAUGAACGUUUACAUAAUUGGGUUGAGCAUUAUAUAACUAAACAUCCAGCUAUGUGUAUGAGAAAACACGAAAAAAUAAUUUUAAAAUUAUAUCAAGAUAGAACACAUCGAAUUGAUAGUCAUGUAUUUGAUUCUACAGUAUUACCAAAUAGAUUACCAUGGGAUGGUGGUAGACAUGCAAAAAGUUUAAUACAUAUGCCACAUUCGUCUGUUUCUUUAUCACAUUUAUUAUUUGUAAAAACAAAAAAUACAAACUUAGGCGUAGUAGAUUGUGGUUCUACUAUUGGUACUAUGAUAAAAGUAAAUAAUUUUCAUACAUUAAAAGAAAAUGAUAUAAUACAUAUAGGAGAUAGAUUAGAAAUAACAGUUUCUAUUGACAAAAAUAAAGCAGGUAUGCCUUACAAAGGUUAUGUUUGGAAUAAAAACGCAAAUAAAGUUUUAGAUAGACAUGAACUUAGCGAACUUAAUCAUAAAACUGCUAAUGGAAUGACCGUUUCAGGUGGACAAAGUGUUCCUGGCGAUAUAACGGGUAUGUAUAUGGGUCAAAGUAUACCAUCUGAUAUGGUAGGAGACACAACUAAUAGAAACAUUUUACAUAGUAGAAGCAGCGCUCCAGGUGAAUUAUUUUUAUCAUCGAAUGGGGUUACUAAUGCGCUUAACGGGGAUAAUACUAAUUCUUGUUUCAACGCGGAUACAAAUGUAGGUGUGAUAGCAGACUCUAGUAUAGCAAUAGGUACAGCAAUAGGUACAGGGAUAGGUACAGGGAUAAGAACAGCAACAGGAACAGAAACAGGUACAGGGAUAGGAACAGAGACAGAAACAGAAACAGGAACAGGAACAGAAACAGGAACAGGUACAGGGAUAGGAACAGGAACAGGAACAGAAACCGGAACAGGAACAGGAACAGGAACAGAAACAGGAACAAACGACAAUGGUAAUAACAUGAUUUACGCUCAAGACGAACAACUGCCUUCCUAUUGUGAAAAUGUUGAAUCUAAUUUAUUAAUAAAAUUUGAUUUCGGCACAACAAAAGAAGAACUGACAUUAAAAACAGAAUAUAUAGAUCCUAAAGGUGUAGUUUUAGGUAGAGGUCCAUAUGCCCAAUCAAGUUAUAAAAAAAUAUCUGUAACGAAUUCAAACGGUUAUAUAUCCAGAGAACAUUGUUUAAUUUAUUAUGAUGGUUCAAAACCAAGUGGAGAAAGAUGGCUUUUAAGAGAUACAAGUACCUUGGGUACUUUUAUUAAAAUCAAGCCUUUUUCAAAUCCAAUUCCAUUACCUAUUGGUUCAAUAUUUAAAGCAGGACAAUGUAAAAUAGAAGUAUGUUCUCAUGAUUAUGCUCAAUUUGCACAGUAUCCUGAAAGAUAUAUAGCAUUACAGAAUGUACAUAACCAUAGGUCAAACACUGACAAUAAUAAUAAUAAUAAUAUUAACAAUGAUGCUAAUAAUAAUACUGGAAAUAAUAACAAUAAUAAUGGUAAUAAUAACAAUAAUAAUGGUAAUACUAAUGCAGGUGGAAGACAAAAUGACAAUGAUAGUAGCGACACUAAUAAUAAUGGUGGUAGUGGUGGUAGUAGUGGUGGUAGUAGUGGUGGUAGUAGUGGUGGUAGUAGUGGUGGUAGUAGUGGUGGUGGUAAUGGUGGUGGUAAUGGUGGUGGUAAUGUUGGUGGUGGUAAUGGUGGUGGUGGUAAUGGUGGUGGUGGUAAUGGUGGUGGUAGUGAUAGCGGUAGUAAUAGAUUCAGUAAUGGGGACAAUUUUGUUUCUAACCUAAGUGCUUGUCUUAGUGAUAUACAAACGGAUGCACGACAAAUUAUUACAGACAAUGCUAAUGACGUUGGCACAAACUUGAUUGAUAGAGGUGGCACUGCUUGUGGAAGUACCGGAAAUAGCAGAAGUAGCAAUAAGUCCAACUAUGUGAUAAACAAUAGUAGUAUCCAUUUUAAUAGUGUCUCGCCUUUAAAAAUGGCCCAAAGAACUUUACAAUUUCCACCUGAUUAUUAUGAUGCAACGCUGCAUAUGAAUAAGUACUCUAUACAUAGUUGUCAUAAUACUGGUAACCAUGGUAGUGAUGAUGUAGGUUUUUGUUAUUUUAAAUAUCUAAACAAACUAAAUGCUGCUAAUAAUAGUUUGUUGAGAGAUUUUCAUUACGUUAAUACAAACUUGCUUCCGAUAGAUAAUGACAAGAAUAAUGACAAAAGUAUUGACGAAAAUGAUGAAGAAAAUGAUGAAGAAAAUGAUGAAGAAAAUGAUGGAGGUUUUAAUUCUUUAAGAAAUAAACAUAACAACCGUUUUACUAGUAAAACACCUGUAAUCGAUUAUAAUGCAUUUUCACAAUCGCUUGAUGGCAACCAUGCCCAUUCGUUUGUAACCAAUCAACAGAUAAAUAGUUAUAAUAAUAAGCACAAUUGUCUAAUAGGUAGAAGCAACAGUAGGGACAGGGCGAAAGAUUUUACAAAUAAAACUUAUGGUGAUAAAAAACGUGAUAAUAAUGUAAACAUAAUGGAAUACCAAAACAAACACAAAUGUAAAAGUAGUAUUAAUAACAUGCAAAUGUUUAAUGGAAGAAGUGUACAUCCUUCUGCUUUAGCUAACAUAAAAAAUGACAUUAUAAAUGAAAAAAAAUAUAGCGGAAGUAGCUUACUUAAAAAUUAUAAAAAUUUUGAUAGUAAUAUUAAUGGAAGUGGUGGUAAUGCUAACAGCUUCAGUGGUGGUUAUACUAUGAUAAACAAGUAUAAUAAUGUAAUAAAUGAGAAUAAUCAUUCCAGUUUUAUUGAUAAUUCGAAUUUGAAUAUAGACAAAAAAAAAAGAAAACACGAAGAAGGUUCUUAUAAUAAAAGCACGGGCAACUAUAAAAGGGAGGAUUACACUGGUUGCAACUGUAACAACUAUAUUAGUAGUAGUAAUAAUACGAAAAAAUCUGACGAUAUAGCACUUUUUACUAAUAAUGAUAAACAAACGGAGUUACAAUCGAAUGACGUUUCUUUUAUCCAUAACUAUAAUAAAAUAAACUAUAAAAAUCGACAAAUAAUAAAUGAUUCUCCCUCCUCUUUUAUGAAACUUUUAAAUGAUAAGUUAUAUACGAAUGAAGAAGCAUUUAUGGAAAUUUUAAAAAAAACAUCUGAUAAAAAAAUAAAAACAUAGAAACGAGCAAAGACACAAACAAUGUAACAAUAACAAACAUUUCGAUCAAAAUUUAUAUCAAUUUCUUCAAUCAUAACUUACAUUUUCUUUAAAAA
ensembl:lncRNA